GAAGCAGCUUGCUGCUUUGCUGACGAGUGGCGGACGGGUGAGUAAUGUCUGGGAAACUGCCUGAUGGAGGGGGAUAACUACUGGAAACGGUAGCUAAUACCGCAUAACGUCGCAAGACCAAAGAGGGGGACCUUCGGGCCUCUUGCCAUCAGAUGUGCCCAGAUGGGAUUAGCUAGUAGGUGGGGUAACGGCUCACCUAGGCGACGAUCCCUAGCUGGUCUGAGAGGAUGACCAGCCACACUGGAACUGAGACACGGUCCAGACUCCUACGGGAGGCAGCAGUGGGGAAUAUUGCACAAUGGGCGCAAGCCUGAUGCAGCCAUGCCGCGUGUAUGAAGAAGGCCUUCGGGUUGUAAAGUACUUUCAGCGGGGAGGAAGGCGAUGUGGUUAAUAACCGCGUCGAUUGACGUUACCCGCAGAAGAAGCACCGGCUAACUCCGUGCCAGCAGCCGCGGUAAUACGGAGGGUGCAAGCGUUAAUCGGAAUUACUGGGCGUAAAGCGCACGCAGGCGGUCUGUCAAGUCGGAUGUGAAAUCCCCGGGCUCAACCUGGGAACUGCAUCCGAAACUGGCAGGCUUGAGUCUCGUAGAGGGGGGUAGAAUUCCAGGUGUAGCGGUGAAAUGCGUAGAGAUCUGGAGGAAUACCGGUGGCGAAGGCGGCCCCCUGGACGAAGACUGACGCUCAGGUGCGAAAGCGUGGGGAGCAAACAGGUUAG
rnacentral:rRNA from 1 species